UUGUGUUGCUUCUAUAAAAUCUCUCCUGCAGAUCUCUCUUUGUUGAAUGGGGAGUCACAAAACUGGAGCAACUAGAUUUCAAUUUGUGUCUUAUUUCUGUGAAAUUGAAUGGAGCAGUGAUGAGUCCUACCGACCUGUAAUGAUUUGCCGAAAUGAUCGCAAAUCUUUUAGAACAUCAACAUCUAAGGGGCUGAGUUCCAAAAUACAUUUUUCUUUAUGCAUUGAGAUUUUUGGGUAAAUCGUUAAUGCCCCAUCUGAUUAUUUAUUUCAAGCUUGCAGUUUUACGCUAAGUUCAAUUAUUUAAUACUUCUAUCACUGAAGACUAAAAUUUUGUUUCCUUUGCUCUCCAAGGCUUUAUUUAUAUUAAAUUUGGACAUCAGGAAAAUACAUUUUCUUGUUACCAUUUCAAUUAGUUUUUAUAAAUAUAAUUUUAUUUAAAUUGGUAUGUCUAUAUGGUAUAGGUUCAUAAAUGGGUAAUUGGAGGAAUUAUUUUCAGAUGAUAUUCUGAUAAACUAUAUACUAUUAGAGGUUAAGUAAUUUAUUGGUGUUGCUUUUUUAAAUCUCUCCCUGUGCUCUUUAUUUUUGUUGAUCUGACAAUGUUCAACUCCAAAGCAUCUAUAUUUCCACCUCUUUCUUUUUUUCUUAGUUUAUGGAAUAUCAAAUAGAGCAAUGAUGAGUCCUACAGACCUGUAAUGAUUUGCG
rnacentral:misc_RNA from 1 species